rnacentral:rRNA from 1 species
GAUGAACGCUAGCUACAGGCUUAACACAUGCAAGUCGCAGGGUAACAUGAGGAAAGCUUGCUUUCCUUGAUGACGACUGGCGCACGGGUGAGUAACGCGUAUCCAACCUUCCCAUAACUACGGGAUAACCCGUUGAAAGACGGCCUAAUACCGUAUGAUAUCGUUUGCUGACCUCAAAUAACGAUUAAAGGUUUAGCGGUUAUGGAUGGGGAUGCGUCUGAUUAGCUUGUUGGCGGGGUAACGGCCCACCAAGGCGACGAUCAGUAGGGGUUCUGAGAGGAAGGUCCCCCACAUUGGAACUGAGACACGGUCCAAACUCCUACGGGAGGCAGCAGUGAGGAAUAUUGGUCAAUGGGCGAGAGCCUGAACCAGCCAAGUAGCGUGCAGGACGACGGCCCUAUGGGUUGUAAACUGCUUUUAUGUGGGGAUAAAGUGCGUGACGUGUCAUGCAUUGCAGGUACCACAUGAAUAAGGACCGGCUAAUUCCGUG